rnacentral:rRNA from 1 species
UACGGAGGGGGCUAGCGUUGUUCGGAAUUACUGGGCGUAAAGCGCGCGUAGGCGGACCUGCAAGUCGGGGGUGAAAGCCCGAGGCUCAACCUCGGAACUGCCUUCGAUACUGCGGGUCUCGAGUCCGGGAGAGGUGAGUGGAAUUCCUAGUGUAGAGGUGAAAUUCGUAGAUAUUAAGAAGAACACCAGUGGCGAAGGCGGCUCACUGGCCCGGUACUGACGCUGAGGCGCGAAAGCGUGGGGAGCAAACAGG